rnacentral:lncRNA from 1 species
AGGGCAAAGAUUAUUGUUUGAGCCGUCUCAUAUAAAUGUUAUAUGCCUAAACGAUAAAGUCCAAGGAAUAUGUGAUUGGGAGAAUAUGAUCUAAAGAAGUUAGAUUCAUGAGACCAUUCUUUCGUAUACACAUCCUAAAUGUUCCAGAUCAUAGGAUUGCCAAUUGGGCAUUGACAAUCUGUUAAGAUCAGUACGUACUGUGUCUUCUCUUAGGGAGAGUGACUAGUCUCGAGUCAUUGGUGUGUGUGACAUCAAGUCAAGUACGUAGGUGCUCAAUAGAGAAUGAGUUCACUGAACACGAUCAACGAAGAGUUCUCAUAUUCAUGUCACAAGAGAACUCAUGGUUGGGAUAAUGCAAAGUAGUCCUUUGACCUGAGGCAUCACAUUUGUCUUGUGGUUAAGUCCUUGAUCUUUGAUUAUGUCAAAGUCACCCCAUCGGGGUGUCCACGUCAUCAUUGGGGUUAAGCCACUUAGUCAUGGAGACAAGUGAAUGCGCAACAAGGGAUCUCUAACCUUCAAACCGUUUGGGGGAGAAUACUCUAUGAUAUGAUUUAGAACCUCUGGCCAGAGUAUGAAUGAGAUUUAGGAAAGCGUUCCAAAUCACAUUCAAGGUAAUCAUAUAAGCACACGAAUCACAUUGGAUAGUAGACAUGAAUAAAUAAACUAUCAAACCAAACAAUGUGGUCAAGAGUAUUGUAUUAGAGAAAGACCGUAUUGCAUUUGUAAUCCUAAACUGAAUAGGUUCUCCACCUCUUCUGAUUAGCUUGGGUAACCAUGAUAUGCUGCUAGGUGUCACUCAUGGUUUGUGGAAGCCCUAAACGUGUGUAAACACUAAAGGGAGAAUUGAAAGUAAGUUUCAAUUCACAAUCGAUGUAAAAUGGUUUUAAUCGCCCACUGCCUCGUUAAAAGGAACCUAAUGGAUUGUACACCGUGUAAGGUGGAGAUUGAAGAAACAAUGGAGAUGAGUAAGAAUAAUUAAAUGGUUUAAUUAUUUAUGGCAAGGAUUAAUUAAUAUGUUAAUUAAUCAAACGAAUAAGUUCGUUAAAGACCUCGGGAUAGUUUUGGACCUUAAGGCCCAAUGGGCUUUGAACGUCAAGCCCAUUGACUUAAGUUGUAUGACAACUUAAUGAAUAAUGAUUCACAAAGGCCUAAAAGGCCCAAUGAAACCCCAAGGCUGGCCAUGAUGCUUUUGGAGUGGGUUUUGGACUUAUUUACAAGUUUGCCACUCCAAUGAAUUAAGGUAUAAAUAUGACUUUAUAGCCAAAAUUCAUUUAGGGUUUGUUUUGGAGAAAAUUGGAGAGAACAUGUCUCUCCAUUUCUCUCUAAAGAGGCCGGCCCCUUGGAGGGUGUAUCUAGCCAUACUAACUACUCCAAGGUCACUCAUUUCUUCUCCAAUCUAACCUUGGUGAAGAUACUUAGAGGUUCUCAAUUUUGGGAACUUGGAGAAACCUUUUCAUCCAUCCAAAUCCAUAGAUUUUAGAUGCAAGGAAUGAAGGCCCUCUCUUUGGGUGAUUAGCCUUUGCUUAUGCAAAGAGGAAUCUACAAAGGUACAAUUUCAACUCACUUUGUUUUGAGUUGAGUUUUGGUUCACCAAUCUACUAGGCUUUGAAUUUCUUGGUUAAUGUUUUGUUUUUGAGUGCAUGCAAGCAUGAUUCCGCCUUUAAUUGUUAAUUGCAUGCUAUAUGAUGUUGCUCAAAUGAACAUGUUUUCACAAAAAUAAUCCUUCAAGUGGUAUCAGAGCCUAGGUCUAGUAGUUGGUGAAUCCUUUUGGGUUUUGUGGUUCAUAGUUUUUGAUUUAAAAGUUGUAAUAUGUUACAAGCUUUAUUCUUGUUUCUUUGAAUGUAAAUUUUGUUAGAAAAUUUGCCAUCUCAAAUGUUGUAGAUGUAGUUCAUAUGAGCAUGAAUAUUGGAGCUAAAAUUUGGUGCCAUGAUUUUGGGAAAAUUCGGCCAAAUACAUAGGGUGAUUUUUUGGGUUCUUGUUUGACUUGUUAAAAGUGUUUUAAAGUGACUUUUGGAACCCCUAUGUACCCUAGUUUGGUUAUAUGUUAUUUCCCUAAAGUUUGAAUGGUUUUGGAAUGUUUUUGGGUGAAAAAUGUUCAUGGAAAUUUUUUGAGUUUUUCAUGAAUGUUCUUCAUUGUUCUUGACAUUUUAGCCAAGAACAAAAAGUUGUGUUUUGAUUCAAAGUUUUGAUUUAUUUCAUAAUGUUUAUGUUUUAUGUUUUUCAAAUGUUUAAAUGUUUUAGAUAUUUGUUUAAAUGGUGUAAGAGCUAUUGGUGGGUGUGUAAGGAUUAAUUUCCUUUCACACACACCACUUGCACCACUUGAUUGCUUUAUGUCAAAACUCACAAAUCAACACACACAUCACUCCAUUUCUUCUUCCAAAACCGGCCACCCCCUAGUGGGGGUACUUUUGGGGCCUUUUAUGCAAUUACAUAAAGUUUUGAUACUUUUGUGUAUUUGCACUUUGGCCCAAAAGUUUACGUUUUUACGUUUAGGUCCAAAAACGCUAAAGGACAAAUUGUUUUGCUCCUUUAAUGAAGUUUUUACAUUGUUUAAAUUUUGGGUUCUAGUGUAAUUACAUGAAGUAGUGGACUUUUGUGUUCUUACAAAGUGACCCCAAAAGUUUAUGUUUUUGCAAUAUUGCCCAAAGGUUGUGGUAAUUGCAUUUUGGCCCAAAUUAGGUAGAGAACAAAAUUGUUUUGUCUCUUUAAAUGAGAAUUGGAUUUUCAUUUCAUUUAGCUCCAUUUAAAUCAAUUUUAUGGAUACAAAAAACCAAAUGAAAAUGUUGCAUUCAAUUUAAUUAGUUAAAGUGUUAAUUAAUUAAAGGAUGAUUAUGAACCUAAGCCUAAUAUAAUUGAGCUAUGUGAAAGGCCGUUUCAAAUUUGUUUGAACCAUGGGAAUGUGUAGAUUAGAUUUUGGUUGUAAUUUGAUUUGAUCAAAUGUUGUAAAAGGGCAUAAGCCCUUCUUUACUUUAAGGUAAUUUGUUUUAUGCAAAUGUUGUAAUGAGCAUAAGCUCACCUUUACUUUGAAGUACUUCUUUCUUGCUUUAUUUGAUAUGCAUGAAAAUGAAGUAGUUGGGUCCAACGCCCCUAAGACAACACGCUUUAAUGUGAUUAAACGCGUAACUAAAAUCAAUCACCAUCCCUAGACCGAGAUUCAACACAAGGCUCGUGUUGAAUCUAAACAAAGGUUUAUAGUCAUCCUAAGGCCCUAAGGCAACUAUAUAGUCCAUCAAAUGAAUGCAAAGGUUAUGUUAGUAGUAUCAUAUACUCUUGCUUUAAAAACGUUUUAUAAGCAUAGUGGGAGUAUUAUAUACAACUAAAAACAAUCAUAUGGACCAAUAGUUGUAAUAGGACCAAAAUUGUUUUAAUAAAGAUUAAAAUGAAUAUUUAUAUGUGAUGAGACCUAAAACCCUCAACCAAACCAUUAUUAAGUUGAUAAGCGUGAGAGUGCUUUGAACACUCUUUCGUGGCCUUCCACCGUGGUAGGCUCCAAUCGUCUAGAGGCCAAAUAAGAUGGGUACUUGCAAGUGAUGCAAAUGAGUAAGCGUACUCUCUCAUUAUUAUUAAUGCUAGCCAACAUCAUAUCAUUGUGAGGUGGGCUUGGUAGUAGUGAGUCUCCCACACCCUACUAAGAGUUUCAUCCAAAACUCUCGAAUUCCAAUGAGGGAUAUGGAAUUUGCCAAAAAUAGUGGCUGGUGCUAUUUGAUUUAAAGAUCCGAAUCAAAUGGCUUAAAAUCAAUCAAUUUAUAUUCGUUAUGUAUUUGUUUACCAUUAUAUUUGCAAACGCUAUCCAACACUUGACAAAUAAAAGCCGAAAGCUUUAGUUUCCGGACUUGGUACUACAAAACCAUAGAUUGUCUUUAAUGGCUUGUAAAUGUACCUAAGUAGUCUCAUCCUCACAAUCUUCCUAUUGAUAAAGUAUCAUUAGAAGAAUAUGUUAGAUAAAGUCUAUCAUAAAGAGGACAACACUUUUAAUGUCAUAAUUCUUCAAUUACAAAAUGUUGUAUAAAGAAAUAAGAGUUGUUUUGAACAACCCUUAAUCAAUGCAAACAUUAGUGCUUGUUUCUUUGUUACAUGAACAAGGAACUUUAGAAGAAAGCACAAAGGCAUGGACACUUUAUGUGCCAUGAUUCUUCACUUACAAAUUGUUACAAAUUGUUGUAUGAAGAAAUGAGAGUUGCCUUGAACAACUCUUGAAAGUUUGUAAUUAUGUUUAGAACAUAAUGGUUGGUUGACAAAAAUAGUCCAUUAACAUGAACUUAUGAUGAUUUUGAAUCAUUGAGUGUUGAAGUGAUAAACCACUUAACGAGACGGAAACUAGGCAAGGACUUCACCUAUGUGUCCCUAUCCUAAUGGUUCACUAAGUUUAUUGUAAACUAUGUAGUGAACAAUAAACACAUACUCUCCAAAAUGUUUGAUGUGUAUAACACAAUUGAAAUAAGUUUCAAGAGAGAUAGUGGGAGUUUAGGGACCAUGACUAUUGUAGUCAAAGGUUAAAGUCAAAUGAAGAAGAUAAAAUAACUCCAAGAGAACAAACUUUCUUUAUGAAAGGAUGGACAUUGGAAGGGGUAUUUGCAAGAAAUGUCUUGCAAGUGUCAAGAACACACCUUUCGAAGGUGUUGUAAAUUGUUCUUGAAAAGUUCAAAACAAUUGGUUCUUCUACUUGAAUGCUUGAUUCCAUAUUAGUAACUAUGUUUUACAAUCGUUGUAAAAGUGUGACUAAUAAGAAGUAGAAGAUAUAUGAGAGAAAGAAAAGGUGCUUCACAUUCGGAACGUGAAUAAAAUAUAGAUCUCUGCGAAAGCAGAUAGUACUUACUUCCUCAUAUGAACUACCAAAGAAAUUGGAAAAACCAAAGAUUGUCUUUACAUUCCAAUUUUAAGGAACUUAAUUCCGUCACUAUAGUAGAGAUGGAUAAAUGCUUUGUUUGACAAAACAUUGUUCUUUAUUAAUCAAUGAUUGGAUUAUAGUAAUCUAAUUGAUUGUCUAUAGUAGAGAUGAUAUGGUAGUGUUAACUGUUUAGAAUACAAUGAUGCUUAAAACCCAAAAGGUUGCAAGGUAGUGACUAAUCCCAACUAAGUUGUGAUACCUCUAAAAACAUAAGUUACGAGUUGGUGAAAGAUGGAUGCUUUGGAUCGUUAGAUCCGGAUCCAAUACCUUCUUGUUAAAAUUGUAUAGAGGCGAAAUGUUCGAAUCUUUAUUCUUUUGGAAAGAAGAAAGAAUCACAAAGUUGUUGAGGUUAAUUCACUUAGAUGUUAGUGGCACUUGUCCACAACAUAAUCAUACUCAUGUUAUAUGACAUUCACCGAAGAUCACUCUCGGUUGGACUAUAGUUUAUUUUGAAUAAACACAAGUCCGAAUGCUUUGCAAAAGUUUUCAAAGAAUUCAAGAAAUGUAAGUUGAUGAGUAAGACGUCUAAAGUAUUUACCUCCUUAGAUUUGAUCCAAGGAAAAGAAACACUUUAGAUGAGUCUCCUUGAAAGAUAUCAAGGAAAGAAGCAUCAUAAGAUAAUAGAUUUCUCCAUUAAGGAGAAGAACGAACUCGAAUAAGAUUUAGUUCGUUAGAUGUUAUCUAUUACCCAUAUAUAGGAUAUAUACUUCUAAAAACAAUAUGAUUGUCAAUUAGAAGAUCUUCCAACUUUUUCAUGACUCCAUAAGAUGUAGUUGGAAAGAAAGACAAAUCUCAAGCAUGUUAAGAUUUGGGGUUGUGAGCUAAUAAGCAAUAUUUGUUUGAUAACAAUCUUGUGGGAUAUCCUUAAAUUAACAUUUGGAUAUCGCUUCUAUAAACCAACUAACAAAUGUUGUUUUGUUGGGUAGUUCAUUGUAAUCCUACAAUGUGAUUUGCCUAAAAGCAAAUGAACAAGAGAUAGAACUCAAAGAAUGGGUUCUUUGAGAGACAAGAAAGUAAUAAACAAAUAUAAACAACCUAGUUCCAAUACCAAAAGCUCCAAGGUAGUCGAGAAGGAUUUAUAAACCGUCUCAGUUGAAUGGUUUGAACUUUAUGACUAUGUCAUAGAGUUGCACCUCUUAAUUCGAAAGAAAUAAGAAUGAAAAUCCUUAUGACUACAUUGAGUGUAUAUAUAUGAUAUAUAUACUCAAGGAAAUGGUAAAGUACCAUUUGACCCGAAAUAAUGAAACCUUCAUAAGCUAAUUGGUAGCUUAAGGUAACUACAAUCAAAGAGAAUGGUUGACUUUGAAGAAACCAUUUUUGACGUAGUCUUGGUUUCAAUUAAUUCGAAGAUAGCUAGCUACAACUAAAUGGUGAUUCAAUGUUUGGACAUAAUAUGGGUUUCCGAAACCAUUAUUAAGAUAGUCUUGAUAAUAUAUGUCUAAAACUAUAAAUCACAAGACAUGUAAGUUGUAGAGAUCCAUCCAUCAUGAAUCUAAGCAAGCUAGUGGGAGCUAUGAGCAUCUUAUGAGAAAAGGAUCAAAUCGUUUGAUUUCUCGUAAAGAUGUAAAUGAAUAUUUUGUUUACUAGGUUUACAAAAGAUUAGUGGGAGUUAAUCAUGUUCCUAAGAUUUAAAUAUAUAUAUGAUAUAUUAAUUUUGGAAAUGAAAAGAAAUACUUCUUCAUUAAAGUUACAACUUUAAAACAUUAUAUGAAGAUAGAAUGUAUAAGGGAGUUAAUCAUGUUCCUAAAAUUUAAAUAUAUAUGAUAUAUUAAUUUUGGAAAUGAAAAGAAUACUUCUUCUUUAAAGUUAUGACUUUAAAACAUUAUAUGAAGAUAGAAUGUAUAUGGGAGAUAUAGUCUAUAUACAUGGGAUGGAAAUCUAUAAUGAUAUAUUUCUUGAUAUAAUUGGAUUAUAUCAAUCCCUAAUAAUAGACAAUAGAUGCUAGGAAGUUUCUCAUAUGAUGAUAAACUUCAAUUAGAAGGACAACUCUAGUGAGACUAAGAAGUUGCUCUUCUCAAAGAGAACAUACUCUUUGACUCCCAAAGAAAUAAUGCGUAAAUAGAAUCCUUUAUGCAUAUGCAUAAAGGGGAUUUAUGUAUUUCAUAUUGUAUGAAAAACAUUGAUAUGAGUUGUACCUAGAACGGUACAAGACGAUAUCAGUGCAAGCCCAGGAUCAGAACCAUGGCAACUGUCAAGUGAGUCCUUAAGUAUUUAAGAAAUACUAAAGGAUAGAUUCCUCAAAGAAUGAGGAAGAAUUAGAGUAACGUAAAGGAAGCGUUAAUGUAUUAGAUUAUGAAUCUAAUCCAUCAUUGGAUGUUUCUUCAUUAUGAAUGAAGAGAUAAUCAGAUAUCUCUUUAUUAUGACUAAAGAGAUAUUUGGAUGGAAACAUUAAAAGUAAUGACUUUAGUGUGUUACAUUAUGAAUGCAAAAUAUAUUGCCAUAUAGAAGCUUACAACAAUGUUGUUUGGAUGGGAAAGUUCAUUUAUGAACUCUCUAUUCGGUUCCAACCAGAAAGUGUAUCUAGUGUACUGACACUAUGACACUAAUGGGGCGAUAGCUCAAGCCAGGGAAUCAAGGUCUCAUCAAGGUCUGAACUCAAAUGAGAGACUGAACCACAUGAUUGAGAAUCAUGUAUAAUGGUGACGUCGUUAUUCUCAAGGUUGCUUCUAUGGAUAACAUAUAGAUAUCCAUUGUCUAGGCCUACUAUUCAGCCAUUUAUGAAAUGACUACAUAAGAGGUAUCAUCACUGAUGAUCAAGCUGAUUGGCUCUAGUGCAAGUGGGAGAUUGUUGGAAAUGUGCCCUAAAGCCAAUCAUAUGAUGAUACUUUACGGACAUUUCACAUGUUAAACUAAUCUAAGUUCAAUAUCAAGGGCAAAGAUUAUUGUUUGAGCCGUCUCAUAUAAAUGUUAUAUGCUUAAACGAUAAAGUCCAAGGAAUAUGUGAUUGGGAGAAUAUGAUCUAAAGAAGUCAGAUUCAUGAGACCAUUCUUUCGUAUACACAUCCUAAAUGUUCCUGAUCAUAGGAUUGCCAAUUGGGCAUUGACAAUCCGUUAAGAUCAGUACGUACUGUGUCUUCUCUCAGGGAGACUGACUAGUCUCGAGUCAUUGGUGUGUGUGACAUCAAGUCAAGUACGUAGAUGCUCAAUAGAGAAUGAGUUCACUGAACACGAUCAACAAAGAGUUCUCAUAUUCAUGUCACAUGAGAACUCAUGGUUGGGAUAAUGCAAAGUAGUCAUUUGACCUGAGGCAUCACAGUUGUCUUGUGGUUAAGUCCUUGAUCUUUGAUUAUGUCAAAGUCACCCCAUCAGGGUGUCCACGUCAUCAUUGGGGUUAAGCCACUUAGUCAUGGAGACAAGUGAAUGCGCAACAAGGGAUCUCUAACCUUCAAACCUUUUGGGGGAGAAUACUCUAUGAUAUGAUUUAGAACCUCUGGCCAGAGUAUGAAUGAGAUUUAGGAAAGCGUUCCAAAUCA